rnacentral:rRNA from 1 species
UACGGAGGGUGCAAGCGUUAUCCGGAUUCACUGGGUUUAAAGGGUGCGUAGGCGGGUAGGUAAGUCAGUGGUGAAAUCUCCGAGCUUAACUCGGAAACUGCCAUUGAUACUAUCUAUCUUGAAUGUUCUGGAGGUGAGCGGAAUAUGUCAUGUAGCGGUGAAAUGCUUAGAUAUGACAUAGAACACCAAUUGCGUAGGCAGCUCACUACGGAAAUAUUGACGCUGAGGCACGAAAGCGUGAGGAUCAAAC